rnacentral:rRNA from 1 species
CUUGGUCAUUUAGAGGAAGUAAAAGUCGUAACAAGGUUUCCGUAGGUUGCGUUCAGCCUGCUGGAGCGGUCUGCGACCGCUAGUCUCUCAGAGGCAACACGCCCACCGUGCGGAGAGGCCCUUCAGGGCAACCCGCAGCUGUUUCUCCUAACAGCUCAGAGGCUCAAUAGGCGUGGGCGCUGUAGCUACAGCGCUUGAGAUAGAGUCCACCCUCGCUGGCAACGGCGGGGAGCAAGUGGAACCUGCGGAAGGAUCAUUACAGAAUAUACUUAUUCUCACCCUCUGUGUACCAAACCACUGUUGCCUCGGCGCGCCCCUGCGUCAGAGGACCUAAACACUGAAAUUAUACUGUCUGAGUUGCUAUGCAAAUAGUCAAAACUUUCAACAACGGAUCUCUUGGUUCGGGUAUUGAUGAAGAACGCAGCGAAAUGCGAUAAGUAAUGCGAAUUGCAGAAUUCAGUGAGUCAUCAAAUCUUUGAACGCACAUUGCGCUCCCUGGUAUUCCGGGGAGCAUGCCUGUCUGAGCGUCAUUACAACCUUUGCGCUCUGCGCAGUGUUGAGCGCAGCCUCCUGGGCUCGCUUCAAAUUCAGUGGCAGCACCGCAGAGCCCCUACGCGCAGUGAUCACCGCCGCCGGUGGAGCGCUGCGAGUGCUCGCCAGUCAACCCCCACUUGCUAGGUUGACCUCAGAUCAGGCAGAGAUACCCGCUGAACUUAAGCAUAUCAAUAAGCGGAGGAA